AAAUUGAAGAGUUUGAUCAUGGCUCAGAUUGAACGCUGGCGGCAGGCCUAACACAUGCAAGUCGAACGGUAACAGAAAGCAGCUUGCUGCUUUGCUGACGAGUGGCGGACGGGUGAGUAAUGUCUGGGAAACUGCCUGAUGGAGGGGGAUAACUACUGGAAACGGUAGCUAAUACCGCAUAACGUCGCAAGACCAAAGAGGGGGACCUUCGGGCCUCUUGCCAUCGGAUGUGCCCAGAUGGGAUUAGCUUGUUGGUGGGGUAACGGCUCACCAAGGCGACGAUCCCUAGCUGGUCUGAGAGGAUGACCAGCCACACUGGAACUGAGACACGGUCCAGACUCCUACGGGAGGCAGCAGUGGGGAAUAUUGCACAAUGGGCGCAAGCCUGAUGCAGCCAUGCCGCGUGUAUGAAGAAGGCCUUCGGGUUGUAAAGUACUUUCAGCGGGGAGGAAGGGAGUAAAGUUAAUACCUUUGCUCAUUGACGUUACCCGCAGAAGAAGCACCGGCUAACUCCGUGCCAGCAGCCGCGGUAAUACGGAGGGUGCAAGCGUUAAUCGGAAUUACUGGGCGUAAAGCGCACGCAGGCGGUUUGUUAAGUCAGAUGUGAAAUCCCCGGGCUCAACCUGGGAACUGCAUCUGAUACUGGCAAGCUUGAGUCUCGUAGAGGGGGGUAGAAUUCGAGGUGUAGCGGUGAAAUGCGUAGAGAUCUGGAGGAAUACCGGUGGCGAAGGCGGCCCCCUGGACGAAGACUGACGCUCAGGUGCGAAAGCGUGGGGAGCAAACAGGAUUAGAUACCCUGGUAGUCCACGCCGUAAACGAUGUCGACUUGGAGGUUGUGCCCUUGAGGCGUGGCUUCCGGAGCUAACGCGUUAAGUCGACCGCCUGGGGAGUACGGCCGCAAGGUUAAAACUCAAAUGAAUUGACGGGGGCCCGCACAAGCGGUGGAGCAUGUGGUUUAAUUCGAUGCAACGCGAAGAACCUUACCUGGUCUUGACAUCCACAGAACUUUCCAGAGAUGGAUUGGUGCCUUCGGGAACUGUGAGACAGGUGCUGCAUGGCUGUCGUCAGCUCGUGUUGUGAAAUGUUGGGUUAAGUCCCGCAACGAGCGCAACCCUUAUCCUUUGUUGCCAGCGGUCCGGCCGGGAACUCAAAGGAGACUGCCAGUGAUAAACUGGAGGAAGGUGGGGAUGACGUCAAGUCAUCAUGGCCCUUACGACCAGGGCUACACACGUGCUACAAUGGCGCAUACAAAGAGAAGCGACCUCGCGAGAGCAAGCGGACCUCAUAAAGUGCGUCGUAGUCCGGAUUGAGUCUGCAACUCGACUCCAUGAAGUCGGAAUCGCUAGUAAUCGUGGAUCAGAAUGCCACGGUGAAUACGUUCCCGGGCCUUGUACACACCGCCCGUCACACCAUGGGAGUGGGUUGCAAAAGAAGUAGGUAGCUUAACCUUCGGGAGGGCGCUUACCACUUUGUGAUUCAUGACUGGGGUGAAGUCGUAACAAGGUAACCGUAGGGGAACCUGCGGUUGGAUCACCUCCUUACCUUAAAGAAGC
rnacentral:rRNA from 1 species